CCUACGGGUUGCACCAGUGGGGAAUAUUGCACAAUGGGCGCAAGCCUGAUGCAGCCAUGCCGCGUGUGUGAAGAAGGCCUUCGGGUUGUAAAGCACUUUCAGCGGGGAGGAAGGCGAUAAGGUUAAUAACCACAGCAAUUGACGUUACCCGCAGAAGAAGCACCGGCUACUCCGUGCCAGCAGCCGCGGUAAUACGGAGGGUGCAAGCGUUAAUCGGAAUUACUGGGCGUAAAGCGCACGCAGGCGGUCUGUCAAGUCGGAUGUGAAAUCCCCGGGCUCAACCUGGGAACUGCAUUCGAAACUGGCAGGCUAGAGUCUUGUAGAGGGGGGUAGAAUUCCAGGUGUAGCGGUGAAAUGCGUAGGGAUCUGGAGGAAUACCGGUGGCGAAGGCGGCCCCCUCGACAAAGACUGACGCUCAGGUGCGAAAGCGUGGGGAGCAAACAGGAUUAGAUACGCCAGUAGUC
rnacentral:rRNA from 1 species